UGUGUAAAUAUGAUCGAUCAAUUACUAUCAAGUAUUUUGUUAAAUCACAAUCCAUAUUUUAAAGUUAGUUGUAUGAUAUCGGUGCAUUAUUAAAUGACAUUGUAAAAUCAGUGUAUUAUAUUUAAUCUCAUUAAAUUAUUACUUAAUUAAUAAAUAAUAAAUACGUUUGAAUUCUCAAAGUUCUUACCAAAAGAAUACUAUAUAAAGAACUUGAACAUUGCUAUGCAUAUUCCUAGAACAAGAGAAAAUAGAGUUGUAAGAAAAUCUUCAAACAAAAAUGGCAAAGCUCAUUUGCCAAUCUCUUCUAUUGGGGCUUUUUUGCAUUGUGUUGGUCAGUGUUUCAGUUUUCGAAGCAGGAGCAACACUGGAUUUCAUCAGUCCAAUUCAAUGCCUCGCGGUAUGCACUAAUAGUUGUAUGGUAACGUGCAACGCUAAGGGAUUUCCUGGCGGAGCUUGUAUUGGAGAGUUAUGUUGUUGUUCAUGAAGAAUUAUGUAAUCAAGAGCAAUGGAGCAUUCGAUCAGUCUCAAAUAAAUAGAAUCUAUGGGAAGCUUAAAUAAAUAAGCGAUUAUGCAGUAACAAAUUGGGAGGAAGAGUUGUUUCCAUUUGAAUAUUAUGUAUUGUACUCUUAGUAAUUAAGAGUUAAUUAUAUAUCUCUAAAAUGUGAAAUAUCAAUAAAGUUUGUAUUCAGAAUACAACAACUAGUCUUUGAUGAAAACAAAUAAAGUGAAGCAUAAAACGGUUAAAGAUA